ensembl:lncRNA
GCCCUCUCAGGACACAAACAUGUUACAUAAGCCAAAGUGAGUGCAGCAGAUGCUAUUUGGGACACAUCUGUUCAGACGAUUACCUACUAGCCACAAACAUCGAAAAAAUAAUACUGACCAGGCUGUGCUGCCAUGAAGACAGACCAGUUUCUGAUCCAAAGAGCAAUGCUCAGGCACAAGCUUUCAAACUGCCUCCCUGGGGACAAGCAGACACAAACACAUAGACAUCUAAAUCACUGCUGUUGCUUUGAAUCAUCCUGUUCCUUCGUCCCCUGUUCCGCACAAAUAAUCUAAAGCGCUCAUUAUCCAUGCAGUUGCAAAUCAAUGGCAACAAUUAAUUACCAGACAAAUGGGCCUCCAUUACCCAUAGUCAUCAUCAGAGCAGUCCUCCCUUUUAUUAGUUAUGCUGAUAAUAAUAAAUGUAGACUCAUCAGUCA